rnacentral:rRNA from 1 species
GACGUAGGGCGCGAGCGUUGUCCGGAUUUAUUGGGCGUAAAGAGCUCGUAGGCGGUUUGUCGCGUCGUCCGUGAAAACUCACAGCUUAACUGUGAGCUUGCGGUCGAUACGGGCAGGCUAGAGUUCGGUAGGGGGAGACUGGAAAUUCCUGGUGUAGCGGUGAAAAUGCGCAGAUAUCAGGAGGAACACCGGUGGCGAAGGCGGGUCUCUGGGGCCGAUACUGACGCUGAGGAGCGAAAGCGUGGGGAGCGAACAGG